GACGAACGCUGGCGGCGUGCUUAACACAUGCAAGUCGAACGGAAAGGCCCCCACUUUUUUGGUGGGGGUGCUCGAGUGGCGAACGGGUGAGUAACACGUGGGUGAUCUGCCCUGUACUUCGGGAUAAGCUUGGGAAACUGGGUCUAAUACCGGAUAGGACCAUGGUUUAGUGUCUCAUGGUGGAAAAAUUAUUGUUUUGGUGCAGGAGGAGCUCGCGGCCUAUCAGCUUGUUGGUGGGGUAAUGGCCUACCAAGGCGUCGACGGGUAGCCGGCCUGAGAGGGUGGACGGCCACAGUGGGACUGAGAUACGGCCCAGACUCGUACGGGAGGCAGCAGUGGGGAAGAUUGCACGAUGGGCGCAAGCCUGAUGCAGCGACGCCGCGUGAAGGAUGACGGCCUUCGGGUUGUAAACUCCUUUCGUUAGGGACGAAGCCGCGCCUUUUUUGGGUGUGGUGACGGUACCUUUGUUAAGAAGCACCGGCUAACUACGUG
rnacentral:rRNA from 1 species